rnacentral:rRNA from 1 species
AGAGUUUGAUCCUGGCUCAGGAUGAACGCUGGCGGCGUGCUUAACACAUGCAAGUCGAACGAACCUUCGGGUUAGUGGCGGACGGGUGAGUAACGCGUGAGAAUCUGCCCUCAGGAGGGGGAUAACGGUUGGAAACGACCGCUAAUACCCCAUAUGCCGAUAGGUGAAAUGAAUUUCGCCUGAGGAUGAGCUCGCGUCUGAUUAGCUUGUUGGUGAGGUAAUGGCUCACCAAGGCUUCGAUCAGUAGCUGGUCUGAGAGGAUGAUCAGCCACACUGGGACUGAGACACGGCCCAGACUCCUACGGGAGGCAGCAGUGGGGAAUUUUCCGCAAUGGGCGAAAGCCUGACGGAGCAACGCCGCGUGAGGGACGAAGGCCUCUGGGCUGUAAACCUCCUUUCUCAAGGAAGAAGAUAUGACGGUACUUGAGGAAUAAGCCACGGCUAAUUCCGUGCCAGCAGCCGCGGUAAUAC